UCACUGGGAUAACCCCGGGAAACCGGAGCUAAUACCGGAUACUCCGGCUGGAUCGCAUGGUCCGGCCGGGAAAGGUCCGCCGGAGAGGGAUGGGCCCGCGGCCUAUCAGCUUGUUGGUGGGGUAACGGCUCACCAAGGCGACGACGGGUAGCUGGUCUGAGAGGACGACCAGCCACACUGGAACUGAGAUACGGUCCAGACUCCUACGGGAGGCAGCAGUGGGGAAUAUUGCGCAAUGGGCGAAAGCCUGACGCAGCGACGCCGCGUGGGGGAUGAAUGCCUUCGGGUUGUAAACCCCUUUCGGCAGGGACGAAGCGAACGUGACGGUACCUGCAGAAGAAGUCCCGGCUAACUACGUGCCAGCAGCCGCGGUAAGACGUAGGGGACGAGCGUUGUCCGGAUUCAUUGGGCGUAAAGCGCGCGUAGGCGGUCACGCAAGUCGGUUGUGAAAAUCCGGGGCUCAACCCCGGACCUGCAUCCGAUACUGCGUGACUAGAGGUAGGUAGGGGAGAUCGGAAUUCCUGGUGUAGCGGUGAAAUGCGCAGAUAUCAGGAGGAACACCGGUGGCGAAGGCGGAUCUCUGGGCCUUACCUGACGCUGAGGCGCGAAAGCUAGGGGAGCGAACAGGAUUAGAUACCCUGGUAGUCCUAGCCGUAAACGUUGGAUGCUAGGUGUGGGGGGACAUCGACCCCUUCCGUGCCGAAGCUAACGCAUUAAGCAUCCCGCCUGGGGAGUACGGCCGCAAGGCUAAAACUCAAAGGAAUUGACGGAAUCGAAUU
rnacentral:rRNA from 1 species